AAUAUGAACACUGUCUGCACACACUCUGCUCUUGUUCUGAAAGAAAGGAGGACAAGAGGGAGGGAGAAAGAGACGCUGCUACUGAUAAUCCCAGAGUCAUUUUGGAGUUGUGGUACUUACAUCCUGGACAGACUGAAUUUAAUCCAGUCUAGGAGAGAAGGAUUUGAUCCUAACUUUAAAAGUACAAUUACCUGACUGCUCAGCUACAGAUAUUUAAGUCUUUUCUAAGCUACAUUUCACCUGAAGAUCAUCUUAGUUGCAUGGGCCUAACAAUGUGAACACCAAAGGUAUGUGCGUUAGUUGUGCAUGCAAAUCCCCUGCAGCUUUUUUCGUUAUUGUGCUGUAACCUGAUGCCACAUCGAGAAUGCAGCGCCUGGAGCACCCCACACAGCCCUGCCACAGCUCACAGCAGUUUCCUUGCUCACAGGGCACCUUUUGGGCUUGGAAAGCAGUCUGGUUUUAAAUGUUACUGUUGCUAGGGAGCUCUUGUUAACAUUUUACCAAAGGCUGUUCAUUCCAGAGAACCAGACUGCUCAAUACUCAUUCUGAAUUCCUAAUAAUCUUUCCGUACUUUGUUGUUGCUGUUGAUUGUUUCUAAGUGACAAUACAAGCUGGAUUUUUAUUUAUUUAUUUAUUUGUUUGUUUGUUUGUUGUACUGCAAAAAAUAGAGCAAAAUCUUGUUCUUGGCUAAAAUCGGUUGCUGAGUCUACUCAAACAGGUAAAUGCUUCCAUCUCCUGGCAGGUCACAGUUUAUUUUCAUUGGAUCCUGUGUGGUUUGGGAGGUGCCAAAUAGGUGCAAGUUAGUAGCAUCUGUGGCUAGGUAGUUCUGGCAGCAGAGGUGAGGGUAGCUUGCUGGAUGAAGGAGAAGGAUAGCAGGCCUCCAGAUGAUGCUGGUGAGCAGAGACACACAUGUUGUCUGGGCAUUAACAUGCCCUGGGUAAACAGAAGCUUGAUUUGCAGCUGAACAUAAUCCACCUUCACAAGAUCAGGUAUUAUAACAGCACCAGACCUCUAAUGGCAGCUGCAAGAUCAUUUUAACAGUAGCAGCAGUGUGGCCUGAUGCUCCAGAUUUUUACAUGUAUGAAAGCUACUGAUGGUGGGGAGCGAGGCUCUGUUAGCGGGCAGCAGGAUGCUCCAGGCAUCCACUGUCCCCAUGUCCUCUAACCAGUGACUCCCAAGCCCAAUCUCAAGCAAGACUAUCCUGAGAGGGAAGCUGGGUAGCCUAGAGUGCAUCCAGGAGGAGUUCUACAUCAGCCCCCAAAAUACCAGAAGUUGCUGUGAGUCCACUGUUCUUUCUGGAAAACCCCCAUGGCCAACAAGGAGGCCACUGGUGAAGGAGGGACAGCAUUGAGAGGAGAGGUGAGAAAACCAGAAUACAAACUGGGACAGUGUGUGAACACCUAGCAGUUUCUGGAAAUCUCUGGCUGAUAGGAAACAGUGCUGGGCUCUUUUUGGUUGGGUUGCACGGGAGGAAAAGGAAAGAUCACAAUGGAUGGAUGGGGAGAUAAAAAGGGACAAGGAAAAGUGGUAAGAAGGAAGAGGACCAACACACAACAUUUUCCCAACUUGCGUACAGGUAAGAAUGAGUGUCUAUGCUGCUCUGUAAAUGCAAAGCACAAAAAGGAAGCAUAUGGAAAUCUUUUGUUCGUAUUUCUUUUUGGCCACCAGCAUGAACUGUACUGUCACAUUUCGGCUUCUCUUAUGCUCUUAAAAGCAUGCAUAUUAGUGACAUGUUUGGUUUUGUGUUUUUUUUCUGUGAGCAAUUGGAAAAUUUGGUUAGAAGGAUUGCUGGGUAAUUAAUGGGGUUUUCUAGAGUUUAAACUCAGAACCAGGCUUCAUCUUCUCAGAUCAUGGAAAAGCAGGGAAAAAUAGGAAGGUCCCUGGACUCCCCAUCUUGGGGAGCAGAAUGAUUAUACCCAUACGUGCAAGCAGAAAAGCAACCUGCUGCUCAGGGUUGAUGGCAGCAGGAUCCGCAGGAGCUCGUGCUCUUCCUGAAGAAGAGCUCAAACCAUCUCUCAGCAUAGCAAUCUGUGUAGAAACAGAUCUGUUUCAGCUUUGCGGUUAGACUGCUCUGGCAGUGCGACAGCCGGGACAUUCACUCUUUGUUAUACAAGCACUUCAAAAGGGUGGGGGACAGUGAUGGGAUAAGGAGUUGCCCAUGCCUCUUUCAUCACCUCUCCGGAAUGUGUGCCUUCAGGGCUAAUUUAGAUGUAUUUACGUUUAUAAAUGUGUGGCCUCUUCAGCCAUAUUUUUUAACUUUAAUUCCUGUCUGCCCUUGCUGGCACAUGCCCUUGGCAAUUUGUGGCUGUUUUGCUCAUUCGGCAUUGUAUAAUUGUCCUUUAUUACUAAAUCAAUAUUUUUUUAAUGGUUAAACACAGAGCUCAUGAAAGUGAUAUAGUCUAGCUCCAUUUUGCUUAGCAAAUACUUGUUUUUUUAAAUUAUUUUUUUAUUUUUGCUUCUUUUUCUCAAAAAGACAAUGUUUUGCUAACUGUAAAUUGGUUUGCAAGCCUCAAACUGAUGAUUUCAUGAGUCUUCCAGAUGCACCGCCACAGUUCCAGAAAGCUUCCUGACUGACAAGAAAACCAGGACUUCUGUGAGAUCUCCACAUCAGGAUACUAUUAAUAAAUGUUCUGUACCUUAGAAGGAACCCCCCAAUAUCACGCACGCUCCAUAUGGUUUCCUGCUCAGCACUGUGGUGGUGCUCUCCCUCUCCUUAUUCCUAAGUGUCCUGAGGCCCGAUGACACUUGGGCUGCGGUUGGUUGAACCAUCCCUUGUGGAGGAGGUACACAAGAUCUCAAUACCCAGCCCCAGCCAUGACUUAAUACAUGAAGACAUGCUCAUCCCAUGACAUCUGAAGACAUGUCCACACUCAUCCCAUGACAAGAUGAUGUUUGUGCUUAGACCAACUGGCAAGAGAUAAAAUGGAAGAACAGGAUCUAUGUGUCCCUGAAGACAGAGCACAGAGGAAAGAAGGUUGUGGUUCUCUGCCAAAGAUAAAGGUCUUCAUAAAACAGGAUGUAGGGUAACUUGGCACUAUUGAUCAUUUUAUUAGGAAGGAUCCAGCCCAUGAGUUUUAAUUUCAUGAAUCCUUUCACAUAAAAUAGUUGGCCCAUUUACAUUUUUGAACCUUCACAUAUAGCACUGCCCUUUAAGACCCAAGAGUGUACUUCCCCUGGCUGUCUCAGCCAUGCUGCACCCCAUUACAGGGGUCCGAUUGGCACAGAGUAAUAGACAGAGGAAAGUAAAUUUAGUUCCUGACGACAGGACUAAUUCCAAUCUGAGCUUUUUGGUACCUACACUCAACUCCAUGCAAAACCAUUUGGGAAGUGCCUGGACACCACAUUGACAAACAUGUUCACCUAUCUCCUCAUCAGUAUUACUUGUGAUCCCGCAGUGAUUUUCACACCAGAAGUGAUUUGGGAACCUGAAAAAAGGAUCUGCAUCACUUUGCACUGAAAUGCAGCCAUUUCUGGAAUGAGAUCUGUCUUAACAGCACAAGACAAUCUUACAUACAGUUAGGACACAAGGUAAAGACUGCCAUAUCCAGUUAAGCACAGGGAAGGAAGGAUGUAAUUACACAGAUUGGAAUUUGCCCAGAACACCAGGGUCAAAACCUCGACUCUUUUGAAAAGAGCCAUGGGAACUCUAAUAAUCACAAGUGGUCAGGGCCUUGGUUUUACAUCUCAUCUGAAAAACAACACCUCUAAUGAUGCGAUUUUCUUGAGUACCAUGUAAAGGCAUUCAUUCAAAGUGAAUAAGAAAGAAAAGUGCAUCCUACUGCAGCAGCUAGGUAUCCUUGGAGGUAUUCAUUUUGUUUCCAGUAGGCCUAUUUAAUCUGUUAGCUCAGGGGACAUAUACAUGCCCCUUUACAACACUGGUGUUGUGACAGAACAGGGCAAUGUCACAAGACAGAACUCAGUUUGUGAUGAUUUAUCAGCAAUUCAGAUCACUUCCCCACUGUUUUCACAACAGCAAGGCUCAUCCCAUGACCAUUCCAUCACAUGACUCAUGUUGUCUCCAAUGUGGAUCACAAUGACUUUUUAAUCUACGAGUGGCUACUAAACAAAAAGACAACUCUCUAUUGCGACGUUGGUGAUCUACUGCAUUCUUCAUGACUUAAGGACACAAAGACAUCACUGACUAAGAAAACAUUUUAAAAGUCACCACCACCAGGGUUUUGCCAGUUUCAUUUGUGAGGAUAAGCAUCAUCACUUUACAUCUGUUUUACUGAGGAAAAAAACAGUACUUAGCAGAGAGGACAGGCUAGCAGCUCAUGCAUGGGUAGACACUAACACUAAGCAAAGCUCAGCCAGGAUACCGUAACUCAGACAUACGUUAAACAUCUCAGAUUAGAAAUUACGUCCAUAUCUGUUCUUCCACACCUGCAUGUAUCUCUUCAGAAGCUCAUGAGCUGUCUUGUUGCUGGACUACAUACUGCAGACAGCCCUGAGACUAGGAGGAAUUAAAUCCUGCUAUGCUGUAGACUGAAAAAAAUACUACAGUUGGUAUUUCCAAGUUGACCAGUAAAUAUUCAUCCAGCUUCUCACCCUGUUCCUGUCUUCCCAUGGUACUGUACAGCUCUUGAGAAACAAACAACAAACCCAGCAAGGAAAGCGGAAAGAUUCUGGGGCAACAAGGCCUUCCUGCAAUAUUUAUAGUAUCAGAGAAAUUUACUGUCCCUGUACUGAGUGCUGCACUGCUGAUCCCCCACAUGCUCAAAGUACUGACAAAAGAUGGGCUGUGAGGAAAAGAGCUCCAAACAGGUGAAACAUUUCAGUACAGAACAUGUCAGUGUCAAAAAUACCUGAAGGAAGGCUUCUUGGAACUGAUCUUGACUUCUACCACAUUCCCCAUUUUUUAAAUAUGAAUGAAAAGAUGGCAAGAGUUUGUCACCUCCAUUCAAAUGCCACCUGUAAGAAGGAAUGCCCUACUGAGUACACUUCUACACAAUCUGUAGCAGAUCUGUGCUUGCGAUGGACUUCCAACAGCCCAUUCUGCACAGGAGGUCACAUCAGAUAACCACAGGGUCCCAUCUGGCUUUAGCAUCUGCGAAUCAAGGAUCAGAUACUUCCGCCACUAGUAUAACAAGCAAGAGCUAGUCUGUCUUGUAGAAUGACUGCCAAGAGGGUUUCUUUUUCACAAGCAUUUCCUUACACUUCAGGAACAUACGUGCAUGUACUGCAGAGAAAUUAAAUAAUAAAUUAUCAUCAAGGAAAGUUAGGGAGUUGACAUAGAAACCACUAAGACCAGCUGCACAUAACUAGAAAUCUCAAGUUUAUUUGAACAACCUCAGGAAACAAACUCAACUGGGUUCAUAGCAUGAGUAGGAGGAACUGCAUGUGGGAGAGCACAGGACAGCUGUACUGGAAAUAGAUCCUGGAGAUUCCACAGGCACUAUAUAGGCCUUUCAGCCAUAAUGUUAUUUGUAAUACAGGAACAUGCAGCACUGUCUCUUCAAAACAAAUGUAAAACCAGCUGUCAGUCCUUAUUUUAGGUAGGUACAGGAGACAACGUGACAUAUGUAACGCCCUAGGUGGUUUACAGUCAUACAAGGUAUGAUCGACGCUACAUGAUCUACAUGAAGGGAAGAUUAAAAAAGUUGAUAGUUCAUCUCCUUUUUACAAAAUCAGGACCAAAAUUCUGUGAUUUUUGUCUGUCUAUAACCAAGCAGCACAGACUGCCAUGUUUUCAAAGUAAAAUCUAGUUAACAGAAGCAUACAUACGUUUGCUCCUGGUCUUCCGUUAGAAGCUCAAAUGUAUAUUUGUCGAUUUUCCCAGCCAUAUACAAGUAUUAAUUACCUUGUUACGUGGGCAAUUUUUAUUUAUUUAAUAAUUCAAUGGUUAAUUAUUCCCUAUUAUUUGCUUGUGCCCUUAGAAGCAACUCACAGCUAAAUAUCUUCUUGUAUUCCCUUUGCAACAUCAAAGUUUCUGUAAAAAGACUUUAUAUCUUAACAACACGCAGUGCCCACAGCAUUAUUAAAACCUUCUCUUUCUUGUUGCUUUAUUCACUUUACUAUUCUCUCAUUGUUUUAUUUUAAUUGCUGGAGCUUGAUACCAUACUAAUUUUCCUCAGUAAGUUCAUAAUAUCAAUUUCCCUGAAGGUCAGAAACAAUACAUCAGGAAAUACCACCUGCUAUUCAGGGAUAUCACAGGAAAUUUGCAUUUCCACUUUGUAAAGUGUUAUUAUUUUGGACUGACAAGCCACAUUAUUUCAUUAUCACAAAAUGUUAGGAUGCCUGAAAGCUAUAAGGAGAGAGAAAGAAAAGGAAUCAGUGUCUUGGCUGGCCUCCCGCUAGCAUUUUCAUGGUCAUUAACAAUCAGAGUGAGAAGACAAACAACUUGCUGCUGAAAGAUAGGCAUGCUUUACACACAGUUCUCGCUGUCACUUCAGCGCAAGUAUGGGAGCAAUGAGGCCCCUUCCUGGGCUCAUUCAACCACAUUCAAGGCUGAUUUAAAGAUCAGGAGGAGGAGAAAUAGCAAUGUUUAAUAUUUAAACAAAAAAAUGUUUAAUUUUUAAACAUUUAUGUUCUUUUAUGAUUGUUAAAUCAAUAUUAAUAUAGAAUGUAAACCAUUUUACGGCCUCCACACAGGACUCCCCUGUGCUCCUUUCCCAAGCUGCCUGUUUUUGAGGAAGGUAGACGCUACCAGUGGGAGGUUCAAAAAUGAUGGUCUCAAUAAAUAACCCCAGACAAAAACCCGCAGCCCUGCUGCAGACACACUGCCGGACAACUUCAGUGAGAGUUCUGCCUGAGUAAAAACAUCAGGUUUUGGUCCAUUACCUUCCAAUGAACAGAAACUGUUUAUUUGUGGUUGGAGGUGCUUCCUCCUGUCUAAGCUUUCAGCUGUCCAGGCUGAGCUGAAGAGGUUCAGCCAAAGGGGUUUCCCACUAUCUCAGGUUGUAAGUGUGCUCCAGAGGACUCCCACAUUACCCUCUUGCAUCUGUAUGACCACCCUUGCCUUCAGUGACCAGGAACAGCUGCCACAGAUGAGAUGCCUUGACGGUGACUGAACUGAAAAAGCAAUCACCAGUGCUAGCCUCCACUGCAUGCUAAAACCUUUCCUAAAAAACCCUUAUAACCUGUAGACAAAAAUCAGGACAGUGAAGAAAAACAAGAGUAGAGAGAACAGCCAGCAGUGCCCACUGUUAGCUGAGUUUGUUGCAGUGAGAACUUCCAAAAAGCUGCCAGUAAGCAUUUGUGUGCAAACCCCCUGCCAAUCUGCAGAGUUCUGCUCACAUACAGCUGCUGGCUCUGCUCAUUCACUUUCUCACACAGCCGAGCCUCGUUCACUCAUCCAGAACAAGGUGCCAUGUCCUCUCCUCUGUCCCUGUGCCCUUCAGUGAGUGCCCAGAGAGGGGCUGCAGCUUCCUCCUCACAUCCCCCCAGGAUCCUUGAAGGGUUUUAUGGGGAGGAAAUGGCUUUGACAUGUAUUUUACUGAUGUUUUGAGGCAUAUGGUCUGAAUGCUCUGAAUGCCGUGGAAGAUUACUGUCACAUGUCCUAACCCACUGCCUAUCUGUUGACAUAGUAUCACCUUUCCUAUAUUGCUGGAUACCAUUUUCCCAUCAGCAUAGCUCCAAACACAGGGAUUAUAGCCAGGACACAAAAUCAAACAAUCCAUAUAUGCUUAAUAAAAUAAAUAUCAAUCAGCUUUUUAUACA